UACGUAGGGUGCAAGCGUUGUCCGGAAUUAUUGGGCGUAAAGAGCUCGUAGGCGGCGUGGUAAGUCGGGUGUGAAAUCUCGGAGCUUAACUCCGAAACUGCAUUCGAUACUGCCGUGCUUGAGGACUGGAGAGGAGACUGGAAUUUACGGUGUAGCGGUGAAAUGCGUAGAUAUCGUAAGGAAGACCAGUGGCGAAGGCGGGGUCUCUGGACAGUUCCUGACGCUGAGGCACGAAGGCCAGGGGAGCAAACGGG
rnacentral:rRNA from 1 species